CCCAAAAAAACAUACUACCAAUAUAUAUAUUUUUUCCAAAUACCAUUGAAAGGGAACUAUAAACUCGACCAAGAUCUCUUCUUCCCAUGGCUCAACGUGACGUGACACUGGGCGUGUCCGUUCCCUUUCUCCUCAAACGUUAAAACGUUUUUAUUUACUUUGUUUUAAAAUACAAGGAAACAAAUCAAAUCGCUAAUUCUGACUAUAAACUUCGAAUUCAUCAUCAUCUUCUUCUUCUUUGGAUCUCGCUCUUUCAAUCGAACAAGUCCUGGUGAUUUUUGGUUCAUAGAGUCUUAGUCCAUUGUCUCGUUUAGUGGAGGAUAUGGUGCAUGCAGAGUCAGUGAAACUUAGUUCCUUGAGCAAUGGUCAUGUUCCUCAGGAGAAACUAGGAGGAGACGUUUUGCAGAAUAGUACUAAUGUUCGUGUAACCGCUUCUACUAAGACGCUUAAGUUCAAGCGCCGCAAGGUUUUUGCUCAUAGAGACUUCCCUCCUGGCUGUGGAACCCCUUCCAUGAGGCUUAAGGCGAGAAUCGCAGAGAAUGUGAAUGUUGUUGGUGCUGAUGAUCACCACCCUAGUGCUCCGUCUUCUGAAGCUAACAUGAAUGACCCUUGUAAAGAGGAAAAAAAGUCUGAACAGCAUCCGCCUAACGACAUGGAACUAGUGGUAUUUGAAUCUCAUGUUGCUAAACAGGAACCGGAACCAAAGAAAGAGGAGUCUGGUGAAUUGACGGUGUAUACAAGUGAUCGACAUGUUGAGCCGGUGGCGGUUAAGCCGUUGAGGAUCUGUUUGCCAGAUGGAAAUGAUAAAACCGCGGUUAAGUCAUCGUCAUCGGAACCAAAACGAACUCAUGGUGCAGUUAAAAGAAAGGCAACGAAAAGCGUUGCGUUUCAUGAACCGUUGAAGGUUGCCAAAAAGAUGAAUAUAGAUUAUGGUGAAGGGUCUAAAACGAAGAAGAAUUUGUAUUCGCGCGAGAGAGGAAGAAGUCCAGAUAGAGGGGAGCUACAUCGCCAGCCUCGGACAUUACAAGUUGGGCUUCCUCCUUCGCGUCCCAGUGGCUCAAGCGGCGGUGGUGAUAGCCGGACAAAAGUCAAGGAAACACUACGUCUUUUCUACGGAGCUUGUAGAAAGCUUUUACAAGAGGAAGAAGCAAAGCCUGUGAAGCAAAAGAGGUUCAGAGUAGACUGCGAGGCGGCCAAGAUUCUCAGGGAGAAAGGGAAGUAUCUCAACACCGGGAAACAUAUAAUGGGAGCUGUCCCUGGGAUUGAAGUAGGUGACGAGUUUCAGUACAGGAUGGAGCUGAACAUUCUCGGCAUACAUAAACCGAGUCAAGGAGGUAUUGACUAUAUGAAGAUCGGUGAUGAAGUAUUUGCAACGAGUAUUGUAGCCUCCGGAGGGUACGAUGACGAGCUUGACAACACUGAUGUCUUGACCUACACGGGUCAAGGCGGAAACGUGAUAAAGAACAAGAAAGGAAAGGAAGUACCGAUGCCUGAAGACCAGAAGCUUGUAACUGGGAACCUCGCGUUAGCAAACAGCGUGAAGAAGAAGAACCCUGUGCGCGUCAUAAGAGGGAACAAGAAGGCGGUUUUGGAAUCAUCAGGCGAUAAGAAAGGUAGAAGCUACGUUUACGAUGGGUUAUACUUUGUGGAGACGUUUUGGCAAGAGACUGGUUCGCACGGGAAGCUUGUCUUCAAGUUUAAGCUUAGGCGCAUGCCUGGACAACCCGAGCUCGCGUGGAAAGUGGUGAAGAACACAAAGAAGGCAGAGGAGCGCGUGGGUCUGUGCAGGAUCGACAUCUCGGAAGGGCAUGAGAGGCUUCCCAUCUGCGCUGUGAACGAGAUCGACGACGAGGAGCCUCCUUCUUUCAUCUACACGGUUAAGAUGAUUUACCCUGACUGGUGCAGACCGAUACCUCCGAAGGGAUGCCGCUGCACCAGACGCUGUGCAGAAGCGAAGGACUGCGCUUGCGUGGCGAAGAACGGAGGAGAGAUACCGUAUAACUACGAUGGAGCUAUAGUCAGUGCGAAGAAUCUGAUCUACGAGUGUGGCCCGCUCUGUAAAUGCCCUGCUUCUUGCUACCUAAGAGUCACGCAGAGAGGGAUCAAGUUCCCGCUCGAGAUCUUCAAAACCGAGUCGAGAGGAUGGGGAGUGAGAUCUCUCAGCUCGAUCCCUUCAGGUAGCUUCAUAUGCGAGUACGUAGGUGAGCUUUUAGAGGAUAAAGAAGCGGAGAGAAGAACAGGGAACGACGAGUAUCUCUUUGACAUUGGAAACAGAUACGACAACUCUUUAGCUGAAGGGAUGUCGAAGCUAAUGCCUGAGACGCAGCCGGCCAUGGGAGGAGAUGAUGAUGAGAUGAGCGGCUUCACCAUUGAUGCAGCGAAGAAAGGUAACAUAGGGAGGUUCAUAAACCACAGCUGCUCGCCGAACCUGUACGCGCAGAACGUGUUGUAUGAUCAUGAAGACACGAGGAUCCCUCACGUGAUGUUCUUCGCAAUGGACAAUGUACCUCCGCUUCAAGAACUCACGUACCACUACAAUUACAUGAUCGAUCAGGAUUGGAGAUGAGAAGGAAGAAGGGUUGUUUACUACCUGAACCACACCGAAAAGAGGCGAAGAUGGAACAUUGCCAAAUAUGUGAAUUGCUACAGUGGAGAUAGCCAUUGAUAAUGGUCUUAAACUUGGUUCCACGCAAUGCAAACACACAUAAUUCACAGAAGCCUGAAGAAGAAAGAAAGACAAAGCUCUUCUUGAUGAGUGAUAGGAAGAGUAUAUUGUUUCAAAGAUCACAUAUCAGCAGGAGAAACUAAAGGAUGAAGGUGAGAGUUGAGGAGUUAGAGGUGCAGGCCCAACAACAGUGCCCAUGACAAAUACUCCGACACCACCUAGACCUGUAGAUGGUGUUGCUGGAAAUGGAGAAUUUUGAUGAUGACAGGACGUUUGAUCCAUCCGCCGAGGGACUGAACACUUGAACAGCAUUCCAGAAGCAGUUUGUGGUCCAAGAAAGCUUAGAAUGGAAGAAGAUGUGGCUGUAAACUUUGAGUGAAGACAACUUAACAUGCAAUGAAAGCAUUGAAGCAUCUGUCUCUUUGAAAUCAGUUUUCUCUCUGCUUCCUGGAAAGUUACUUUGAAUUUUCCGGGAAUAAAUAAUUUCAAUCUCUGAGUGUUUCACUUGAUUGUAAUUCAAAAA